CCAGACUCCUACGGGAGGCAGCAGUGGGGAAUAUUGCACAAUGGGCGAAAGCCUGAUGCAGCAACGCCGCGUGAAGGAAGAAGGGUUUCGGCUCGUAAACUUCUAUCAACAGGGACGAAAGAAAUGACGGUACCUGAAUAAGAAGCCCCGGCUAACUACGUGCCAGCAGCCGCGGUAAUACGUAGGGGGCAAGCGCUAUCCGGAUUUACUGGGUGUAAAGGGAGCGUAGACGGCAGUGCAAGUCUGAAGUGAAAGGCAAGGGCUCAACCCUUGGACUGCUUUGGAAACUGUGCUGCUGGAGUGUCGGAGAGGCAAGUGGAAUUCCUAGUGUAGCGGUGAAAUGCGUAGAUAUUAGGAGGAACACCAGUGGCGAAGGCGGCUUGCUGGACGAUGACUGACGUUGAGGCUCGAAAGCGUGGGGAGCAAACAGGAUUAGAUACCCCCGUAU
rnacentral:rRNA from 1 species